GAUGAACGCUGGCGGCGUGCCUAAUACAUGCAAGUCGAGCGAACGGACGAGAAGCUUGCUUCUCUGAUGUUAGCGGCGGACGGGUGAGUAACACGUGGAUAACCUACCUAUAAGACUGGGAUAACUUCGGGAAACCGGAGCUAAUACCGGAUAAUAUUUUGAACCGCAUGGUUCAAAAGUGAAAGACGGUCUUGCUGUCACUUAUAGAUGGAUCCGCGCUGCAUUAGCUAGUUGGUAAGGUAACGGCUUACCAAGGCAACGAUGCAUAGCCGACCUGAGAGGGUGAUCGGCCACACUGGAACUGAGACACGGUCCAGACUCCUACGGGAGGCAGCAGUAGGGAAUCUUCCGCAAUGGGCGAAAGCCUGACGGAGCAACGCCGCGUGAGUGAUGAAGGUCUUCGGAUCGUAAAACUCUGUUAUUAGGGAAGAACAUAUGUGUAAGUAACUGUGCACAUCUUGACGGUACCUAAUCAGAAAGCCACGGCUAACUACGUGCCAGCAGCCGCGGUAAUACGUAGGUGGCAAGCGUUAUCCGGAAUUAUUGGGCGUAAAGCGCGCGUAGGCGGUUUUUUAAGUCUGAUGUGAAAGCCCACGGCUCAACCGUGGAGGGUCAUUGGAAACUGGAAAACUUGAGUGCAGAAGAGGAAAGUGGGAUUCCAUGUGUAGCGGUGAAAUGCGCAGAGAUAUGGAGGAACACCAGUGGCGAAGGCGACUUUCUGGUCUGUAACUGACGCUGAUGUGCGAAAGCGUGGGGAUCGAACAGGAUUAGAUACCCUGGUAGUCCACGCCGUAAACGAUGAGUGCUAAGUGUUAGGGGGUUUCCGCCCCUUAGUGCUGCAGCUAACGCAUUAAGCACUCCGCCUGGGGAGUACGACCGCAAGGUUGAAACUCAAAGGAAUUGACAGGGACCCGCACAAGCGGUGGAGCAUGUGGUUUAAUUCGAAGCAACGCGAAGAACCUUACCAAAUCUUGACAUCCUUUGACAACUCUAGAGAUAGAGCCUUCCCCUUCGGGGGACAAAGUGACAGGUGGUGCAUGGUUGUCGUCAGCUCGUGUCGUGAGAUGUUGGGUUAAGUCCCGCAACGAGCGCAACCCUUAAGCUUAGUUGCCAUCAUUAAGUUGGGCACUCUAAGUUGACUGCCGGUGACAAACCGGAGGAAGGUGGGGAUGACGUCAAAUCAUCAUGCCCCUUAUGAUUUGGGCUACACACGUGCUACAAUGGACAAUACAAAGGGCAGCGAAACCGCGAGGUCAAGCAAAUCCCAUAAAGUUGUUCUCAGUUCGGAUUGUAGUCUGCAACUCGACUACAUGAAGCUGGAAUCGCUAGUAAUCGUAGAUCAGCAUGCUACGGUGAAUAUGUUCCCGGGUCU
rnacentral:rRNA from 1 species